UGAGAACUAGCAGCAUAAAAACUGAGGAUAAGACAAACAGCAGCAACGGAUCCAGUCAUAAUGUGGUCAGGUAGCAGGAAGCACAUUUAUCCUUUGAGCAGUACAAGAGGAGGAGGAGGACUGAGGCAUUUGUCUUGGCAGGAGGCCCAUGAGAAAGUGAAGGGCCAAUGAAAGGUCUGAGGCAAGAUGGAAGACUGAAGAGAGAGAGCUGUCCUGUGAAGAUGCUCUGUUUUUGAAUUACUUAGGCCAAGAAAUGGAGGCAAACCACUUUGCUUACCUGGUCCAAACACAGAAGAAGGAAUAUUUAAAAGGACAUGAGGAGGGCAGACUCUCACAGGCAAAUCUUACCUUUUUCUCUGGAGCAAUAAAAACUGCUGUAGAAAGAGGACUUUGGAUGUAAGGAGUGUAAUAUACUCAAAAAAUGAAGAGGAACUUAGCAGUUUUCCUGAAUUUAGUGCUUAGUCCUGUGGAUUUCAGCUGCGAUCAGAUGAUGGAAACAAAUCUCAAGACAAGAUGAAGGACACUAAAUGUGGAGUUAUGCAUUUUGCCGAAGAGAAGAGGCUAUUUUGAUGGGAUGUUUAAUAGAAAUUUCUUCCUGGAAUCAUUCAACUGGCUGCUCACUCCAAACAGCCCAGAGGCUUUUUAUAUUUGACCUAAAUGUCUGGAUUUUUUCUCUUUUCUUCAGCAUAUCACAGAACAGAAAUCUGUAAGCUGAUUAUUGUUGCUUAAUUCUCUUCUGAAUGCAAACAUCUUUGCAUAUUUCAGACACUGCUAUAUAGAGCUGAAAUCAGAAAAGCUGAAAGAGCUUGAGAGCUCAAUCUAAAUCCCAACUGUCUGGCUCUCUGGCCAAUGCCUGGUAUUAUACAAAGUGUGUAACCAUCCUACACCUUUGAUGUAAAACAACUCUCUUUUAAUGUGCUGUACUCUCUUAUUCCCUUUGUCUCUCAAAUAAUAAUCCUCUUGCUCAUGGUAAUCCUUAAAAUCACAUAUGCUCUUUAAAGCUUUUCUUUUGGAAAGUAUUCACACCCAUUUUUCUGGGCACUGGCAACUAAAUAUUACAGACAACCUGAUUCUUCUGACUUUGACCAAGACAAUUGGAAUUUUUUGUAUUCCACAUUUACUGCUUGGCUGGAACUGGGUCAACAAAAUGAGCAAACAGUUUCUAGUUGUCCAACAGAA